AAGAAGUUAGUUAAAUUAUAACUUUAGUAUGUCAUACUAAUAUUAUUAGAAUAUCUAAUACUUCUUU
rnacentral:tRNA from 1 species